AAAUCCGAAAUGAGCCCGAAAAUCAAAACAAAGUUUCUGUGUACACGCAUCGUUAUAGUAGAAUCGUAGGUAACAUAAAAACACCGGUAAAUGCCUACAGAUUCCUUACUCUAAACUGUAACGAAACAUACCGAAACGGCUUCUAUGUCGAAGACAAUCCGCUACGCAAUAAUCGAACGGUCUGGCGAACUGCAUAAUAAUUGUUUAAUCGCAGUUGCAAGCAGUCGAGGAAUAAACUCGUCGCGUACACA